UAGCGCCUCGUGAAUUCAUCUCCGGGGGUAGAGCACUGUUUCGGCAAGGGGGUCAUCCCGACUUACCAACCCGAUGCAAACUGCGAAUACCGGAGAAUGUUAUCACGGGAGACACACGGCGGGUGCUAACGUCCGUCGUGAAGAGGGAAACAACCCAGACCGCCAGCUAAGGUCCCAAAGUCAUGGUUAAGUGGGAAACGAUGUGGGAAGGCCCAGACAGCCAGGAUGUUGGCUUAGAAGCAGCCAUCAUUUAAAGAAAGCGUAAUAGCUCACUGGUCGAGUCGGCCUGCGCGGAAGAUGUAACGGGGCUAAACCAUGCACCGAAGCUGCGGCAGCGACGCUGAUGCGUUGUUGGGUA
rnacentral:rRNA from 1 species